rnacentral:rRNA from 1 species
CUGUGAGGGUUGCUGGAGGUAUCAGAAGUGCGAAUGCUGACAUAAGUAACGAUAAAGCGGGUGAAAAGCCCGCUCGCCGGAAGACCAAGGGUUCCUGUCCAACGUUAAUCGGGGCAGGGUGAGUCGACCCCUAAGGCGAGGCCGAAAGGCGUAGUCGAUGGGAAACGGGUUAAUAUUCCCGUACUUGGUGUUACUGCGAAGGGGGGACGGAGAAGGCUAUGUUGGCCGGGCGACGGUUGUCCCGGUUUAAGCGUGUAGGUGUGUGUUCCAGGUAAAUCCGGUUCACUUUAACACUGAGGCGUGAUGACGAGGCACUACGGUGCUGAAGUAACAAAUGCCCUGCUUCCAGGAAAAGCCUCUAAGCAUCAGGUAACAUCAAAUCGUACCCCAAACCGACACAGGUGGUCAGGUAGAGAAUACCAAGGCGCUUGAGAGAACUCGGGUGAAGGAACUAGGCAAAAUGGUGCCGUAACUUCGGGAGAAGGCACGCUGACAC